ACGACCCAAACUUUUGUAAUCGUGUUGAUGUGUUUUCUAACUGUCAAGUUGACUCAGACUGUAAAAAUAGAAAACAAAAAUGUUGUAGGAAACAAUGUGGAGCAUUUCAGUGCACUGACCCUAUAGAGGGUAACCGUCCUGGAUGCCCAGCUUGUAUUACCAACCUAAAUAAUCCUGUAUGUCCCUUAUGUAUCCAUUUCCACCAGCAGUGUAACGCGGACCAUGAGU